rnacentral:rRNA from 1 species
UACGUAGGGGGCGAGCGUUGUCCGGAAUCAUUGGGCGUAAAGCGCGUGUAGGCGGCUCGGUAAGUCUGCUGUGAAAGUCCAGGGCUCAACCCUGGAAUGCCGGUGGAAACUGUCGAGCUUGAGUCCGGAAGAGGCGAGUGGAAUUCCUGGUGUAGUGGUGAAAUGCGCAGAUAUCAGGAGGAACACCAAUGGCGAAGGCAGCUCGCUGGGACGGUACUGACGCUGAGACGCGAAAGCGUGGGGAGCAAACAGG